rnacentral:miRNA from 1 species
UAUUAGGUGGUUACAAAAGUAAUUGCAGUUUUUGCCAUUAAAAGUAAUGGUAAAAACCGCAAUUACUUUUGCACCAACUUAAUA